GGAGGAGACGAUCCCGAUCCACCAGGUUGCUGGUCUUCAUUGGCUGCGGCGCGUGAACCCACGCGCCACCAGUGACGGUGGUGCGUGAGGUCAACGCGCCGCCACGUGUCAAAGUGAUCCCAGAAGGCUCUCCUGCGAUCCUGUGUUUUGGGGGGGGUCUUUUCUGUAAUUUUGAAACUGUUAAGGCCUUGUUUGUGUAAUUUUUUAAUUUUUGUUAUUUGUAAUAUGUGAAUGUAAAAGAAAAAAAAAAGGAAAAGAAAAGAAAAUAAUAAUAAUAAUAAAAAAGGAUGUGUGUGUUGGUGU
rnacentral:lncRNA from 1 species